rnacentral:rRNA from 1 species
UACAGAGGGUGCGAGCGUUGAUCGGAAUUACUGGGCGUAAAGCGUGCGUAGACGGUUAUUUAAGUCAGAUGUGAAAGCCCCGGGCUCAACCUGGGAAUUGCAUUUGAGACUGAAUAGCUAGGGUGCGGUAGAGGGAAGCGGAAUUUCCGGUGUAGCGGUGAAAUGCGUAGAUAUCGGAAGGAACACCAGUGGCGAAAGCGGCUGCCUGGAACAGCACCGACGUUCAGGCACGAAAGCGUGGGGAGCAAACAGG